rnacentral:rRNA from 1 species
CUGUGGAUAGGGGUGAAAGGCCAAUCAAACUUCGUGAUAGCUGGUUCUCCCCGAAAUGCAUUUAGGUGCAGCGUCGUCUGUUUCUUACCGGAGGUAGAGCACUGGAUGGUCUAGGGGGCCCACAAGCUUACCGAAAUCAGCCAAACUCCGAAUGCCGGUAAGUGAGAGGACGGCAGUGAGACUGUGGGGGAUAAGCUUCAUAGUCGAGAGGGAAACAGCCCAGAUCAUCAGCUAAGGCCCCUAAGGGACUGCUAAGUGGAAAAGGAUGUGGAGUUGCUUAGACAACCAGGAGGUUGGCUUGGAAGCAGCCACCCUUGAAAGAGUGCGUAAUAGCUCACUGGUCAAGUGAUUCUGCGCCGACAAUGUAGCGGGGCUCAAGCAGUCCGCCGAAGCUGUGGCACUCACACGUGUGCUUGGCCCCUUUUGUGGGGUUUAGGUGUGUGGGUGGGUAGGGGAGCGUCGUGUGUGCGGUGAAGCGGCGGGGUGACCCAGUCGUGGAGUGCACACGAGUGAGAAUGCAGGCAUGAGUAGCGAAUGACGGGUGAGAAACCCGUCCGCCGAAUAUCCAAGGGUUCCAGGGUCAAGCUAAUCUGCCCUGGGUAAGUCGGGACCUAAGGCGAGGCCGACAGGCGUAGUCGAUGGACAACCAGUUGAUAUUCUGGUACCGGCGAAACAACGUCCGUGCUGAGGCGGGUGAUACUAAGCAUGCGAGCUCAUUGUGGCCCUUUGGGGUUGUGGUGGGUGAGUCUGUGACCUGAUCUUGUAGUAGGCAAGCUGCGGAGGGACGCAGGAAGGUAGCCCAUCCCGGGCGGUGGUUGUCCCGGGCUAAGAUGGUAGGCCGGCACGUAGGCAAAUCCGCGUGUUGUGUGGCUGAGAGUUGAUGGCACUGCGAAACAUGUUUUGUGGUGUGGGUGAUCCUAUGCUGCCUAGAAAAGCUUCGUGAGCGAGUUGUGAGCCGCCCGUACCCUAAACCGACACAGGUGGAUAGGUAGAGAAUACCAAGGCGAUCGAGAGAAUCGUGGUGAAGGAACUCGGCAAAAUACCCCCGUAACUUCGGGAUAAGGGGGACCUGACACGUCAACACAUUUUCUGUGGGUAGCGUGGAGGGUCGCAGAGACCAGGCCCAAGCGACUGUUUACUAAAAACACAGGUCCGUGCGAAGUUGUAAGACGAUGUAUACGGACUGACUCCUGCCCGGUGCUGGAAGGUUAAGGGGAACUGUUAGCGCAAGCGAAGCGGUGAACUUAAGCCCCAGUAAACGGCGGUGGUAACUAUAACCAUCCUAAGGUAGCGAAAUUCCUUGUCGGGUAAGUUCCGACCUGCACGAAUGGAGUAACGAUUUGGGCGCUGUCUCCACCACGAACUCGGCGAAAUUGCAGUACGAGUAAAGAUGCUCGUUACGCGCAGCAGGACGGAAAGACCCCGGGACCUUUACUAUAGUUUGGUAUUGGUGAUCGGUACAGCUUGUGUAGGAUAGGUGGGAGACUGUGAAGUCCGGACGCUAGUUCGGGUGGAGUCAUCGUUGAAAUACCACUCUGGCUGUUCUGGUUAUCUAACCUCGGACCAUGAUCUGGUUCAGGGACAGUGCCUGAUGGGUAGUUUGACUGGGGCGGUCGCCUCCUAAAAGGUAACGGAGGCGCCCAAAGGUUCCCUCAGCCUGGUUGGCAAUCAGGUGUUGAGUGUAAGUGCACAAGGGAGCUUGACUGUGAGACUGACAAGUCGAGCAGGGACGAAAGUCGGGACUAGUGAUCUGGCGGUGGCUUGUGGAAGCGCCGUCGCUCAACGGAUAAAAGGUACCCCGGGGAUAACAGGCUGAUCUUGCCCAAGAGUCCAUAUCGACGGCAUGGUUUGGCACCUCGAUGUCGGCUCGUCGCAUCCUGGGGCUGGAGUCGGUCCCAAGGGUUGGGCUGUUCGCCCAUUAAAGCGGCACGCGAGCUGGGUUUAGAACGUCGUGAGACAGUUCGGUCCCUAUCCGCUGCGCGCGUAAGAGUCUUGAGAAGGGCUGUCCUUAGUACGAGAGGACCGGGACGGACUAACCUCUGGUGUGCCAGUUGUACUGCCAAGUGCACGGCUGGUUGGCUACGUUGGGAAGUGAUAACCGCUGAAAGCAUCUAAGCGGGAAGCACGCUUCAAGAUGAGGACUCUCACACCUUGU